rnacentral:ncRNA from 1 species
CAGAGUAGGGUUCGGCGCGUCAAGUGCUGCGGGAUGGGAAGUCGUCCGCAGACGAAGUCAUCCGGCGUUAUGCUGUGAUGGCGCGGUGCCGCUCCCGCGUCCGCUGC